rnacentral:rRNA from 1 species
GAUGAACGCUGGCGGCGUGCCUAACACAUGCAAGUCGAGCGAACAGACGCUGAGCUUGCUCGUCUCACGUUAGCCGCGCACGUGUGAGUAACAUGUGUAUACUCCACCUAUAUUACUGAGAUAAUCUCGGGACUGCGGAGCAUACCCCGGAGGAUCUACUGCACCGUAUGGGUCGUUAGCGAAAUUCGGCUUUUCUGGCACUUAUAGAUGGAUCCGCGCCGCAUUAGCUAGUUGGUAAGGUAACGGCUUACCAAGGCAACGAUGCGUAGCCGACCUGAGAGGGUGAUCGGCCACACUGGAACUGAGACACGGUCCAGACUCCUACGGGAGGCAGCAGUAGGGAAUCUUCCGCAAUGGGCGAAAGCUUGACGGAGCAACGCCGCGUGAGUGAUGAAGGUCUUCGGAUCGUAAAACUCUGUUAUUAGGGAAGAACAAAUGUGUAAGUAACUAUGCACGUCUUGACGGUACCUAAUCAGAAAGCCACGGCUAACUACGUG